rnacentral:rRNA from 1 species
AUUUAUUAGAUAAAAAGCCAGUUCAUGCUUUUACAGUAUGAAAAUUGGUGAUUUAUAAUAACUUAGCAAAUCGCAAAGUGAAAACAGGCGAUAAAUCAUUCAAGUUUCUGACCUAUCAGCUUUCGACGGUAUGGUAUUGGCUUACCGUGGCAGUGACGGUUAACGGGGGAUUAGGGUUCGAUUCCGGAGAGGGAGCCUGAGAAACGGCUACCACAUCUAAGGAAGGCAGCAGGCGCGCAAAUUACCCAAUUCUAACAGUUUGAGAGAGGUAGUAACAAGAAAUAACAAUACAAGGCAGUUAAAAUGCUUUGUAAUUGGAAUGAUAGAAAUUUAAACCCUUUUUAAAGUAUCAAUUGGAGGGCAAGUCUGGUGCCAGCAGCCGCGGUAAUUCCAGCUCCAAUAGCGUAUAUUAAAAUUGUUGCAGUUAAAAAGCUCGUAGUUGAAGUUCUGCUGAAAGUAACCGGUCUGCUUUUAAUAAAAGUGGUAUCUUGGUAUGUAUUUAGCAAUGAUGUCCUUUGAAGUGUUUUUUACUUUAUUGUAAUAAAGCAUAUUCAGGACUUUUACUUUGAGAAAAUUAGAGUGUUUCUAGCAGGCUGACGCUUUG